AUGACUCUGAUCUGCGUCCUCAUCUGGACUCUCCUCUGCUGCUGCUUCACAGAGUCCAGAGGUCAGGUCACAGUGACUCAGCCUGGAUCAGUGACUUCUGCUCUGGGAGGCUCCGUCACCAUCAGCUGUAAAACCAGUCAGGAUGUUGCUGGCAACAGCUAUUUAUUCUGGUACCAACAGAGAGAUGGAGGAACUCCUAAUCUGCUCUUUUAUUAUGUUGGUAGUCGAGUAUCAGGAACACCAAGUCGUUUUACAGAUGGUGGAUCAAACUCUGACUUCACUCUGACCAUCAGUGGAGUUCAGACUGAAGAUGCAGCAGUUUAUUACUGUCAGAGUCUUCAUAUCAUCAACAGUCAGAAUGUGUUCACACAGUGA